rnacentral:lncRNA from 1 species
CUCAGUUCCUGGCUGCACACCACAACCGUCGGCCUCCAGGCUCCUGAGCCUCAGGUUCCCCACCUGCACAGUGGACACUUGCGCACCAGCAGAGCAGGGCUUCGUUACCAGGUCUCGUCGGCUCUGGUGACCCGGGGCAGGUUGCAUACUUUGCUUGGGCUCUUCGUCUAGGAAACGAUGCACACCUGUUGAGCCCAUUGCUGAUGAGAUGACUCUUGGAUCCUCA